rnacentral:rRNA from 1 species
UACGAAGGGGGCUAGCGUUGCUCGGAAUUACUGGGCGUAAAGCGCACGUAGGCGGAUUGUUAAGUCGGGGGUGAAAUCCUGGAGCUCAACUCCAGAACUGCCUUCGAUACUGGCGAUCUCGAGUUCGGGAGAGGUGAGUGGAACUGCGAGUGUAGAGGUGAAAUUCGUAGAUAUUCGGAAGAACACCAGUGGCGAAGGCGGCUCACUGGCCCGAUACUGACGCUGAGGCACGAAAGCGUGGGGAGCAAACAGG